GUCCACGCUGUAAACGAUGGAUACUAGGUGUUUAGGGAAUUAACCCCCUGAGUACUAAAGCUAACGCAUUAAGUAUCCCGCCUGGGGAGUACGGUCGCAAGACUAAAACUCAAAGAAAUUGACGGGGGCCCGCACAAGCGGUGGAGUAUGUGGUUUAAUUCGAAGCAACGCGCAGAACCUUACCUACCUUUGACAUUUCCUGACAGCAUCAGAGAUGAUGUGUCUCCUUCGGGAGCAGGGAAACAGGUGCUGCAUGGCUGUCGU
rnacentral:rRNA from 1 species